rnacentral:lncRNA from 1 species
CUUUCAAUUAGCAAUGAUCAAGGGAACCAGAAAGCAGUGCCUAGCAUACCUUCCUCUGCUAAAUCCUGAUAAAGACAGAUAAAAUGGGGUUUUCUCCUGCCAGAGCAUCAGGACUCAGGUGCACAGAUAGGUUUUGAUUAGAGAAAGUAGAAGGACUUUGCAAUUUAUGUUACAAGAGAAAUGGAGCAGAGUCUGACUGGAGACUAACUAUGGAGAGCUGGGUCAGGGUUUUGAAUGUCUCCUUUCCACAAAAUAUAGUCACAAAUGAGUCCUAUAACAAUCUGAAUGAGGGCUAGGAAAUUAAAGUGGAAAAUUAACACCGUUGGGAUUGGAAAGCAAAGAAACUCUGAGGAUAGCUAGACAACUGUCAGAAGUAAUUCUUCAGUAAUUUUACCCAAACUAAGCUUCAGCUCUAUUUACUGCAAACUCAGCAGAACAUGAUCAAUCUGGAUAACCUCACAUACUUUUUACUAGAGAUGACACCAAUUUUGUGAAAAAGUAUAUUUCCAAAACCAACUGAACCAGCUUCAAAGUAAGUAGCACAUGGUAGAACAAACCUGAUAGUAGUUAGUUCAUGGUAAUAGCUUUAAAUAUAAGAAUUUUAAUUGUCUUACAUAAUUAUACAAUGCAGGAACUGCUGAAAAAUAUUAGUAAAUUGCCCAAAAUGUUCUUUAAAUCACACUGAACCUAUUAUUUUGUUUCUUUUGAAAAUUUAGUAGAUUACUAAAUCUUGGGAUGUAAUUGAUUGUUCAGAAGACUGCAUGUGGAGCAC